CAGUGACAUAUGUUGACAACAAAAUUCAAACUAACUUCAACUCUCGCUUCAAAUCUGUUAUUUUCGUUUGCCUAAAAAUAUUAAUAUCUUAGAUAUUUAAUCUUCUCUACCGUGUCACAUACUCUGGUACUGAUCAUGACAAUAAUAGUGAAAGCUGGAGACCAAAGAGGGCAAGAGCGUCCACUAUAGAUGCCACAUUUAAAUAUGUAAAUCAGCCGGGAACAAGCCGCAACUGGACUGAAGAAGCUGGGUUGACAGAAACCAGUGUUGAAGUCGCCACUAAAAGUCAAUCAGCAAGCAGAAAAAAUAAACCUUCAUUUGAGGACCUUAAAAAAAAUUGCUGUGGCAAGAGUUGGACAACAGCAAAAGAAAAUAUGAGAUAGAAA